rnacentral:rRNA from 1 species
UGGGGAAUAUUGCACAAUGGGCGCAAGCCUGAUGCAGCCAUGCCGCGUGUGUGAAGAAGGCCUUCGGGUUGUAAAGUACUUUCAGUCGGGAGGAAGGUGGUAAGGUUAAUAACCUUAUCAAUUGACGUUACCGACAGAAGAAGCACCGGCUAACUCCGUGCCAGCAGCCGCGGUAAUACGGAGGGUGCAAGCGUUAAUCGGAAUUACUGGGCGUAAAGCGCACGCAGGCGGUUGAUUGAGUCUGAUGUGAUAUCCCCGGGCUUAACCCGGGAGUUGCAUCUGGUACUGGUCAGCAAGAGUCUUGGAGAGGGGGGUAGGGUUCCAUGUGUAGCGGUGAUAUGCGUAGAAAUGUGGAGGAACACCGGUGGCGGAGGCGGCCCCCAGGACAAAGACUGACGCUCAGGUGCGAAAGCGUGGGGAGCAAACAGG